rnacentral:rRNA from 1 species
ACGAGAAGGCAGCUAUACGGCGACGUGAUGCUAAUCCCUAAAGCCUCUCUCAGUUCGGAUUGGAGUCUGCAACCCGACUCCAUGAAGCUGGAUUCGCUAGUAAUCGCGCAUCAGCCACGGCGCGGUGAAUACGUUCCCGGGCCUUGUACACACCGCCCGUCAAGCCAUGAAAGCCGGGGGUACCUGAAGUGCGUAACCGCAAGGAGCGCCCUAGGGUAAAACUGGUGAUUGGGGCUAAGUCGUAACAAGGUAAC